rnacentral:rRNA from 1 species
AGAGUUUGAUUCUGGCUCAGAACGAACGCUGGCGGCGUGCCUAACACAUGCAAGUCGAGCGAGAAAGUCCCGGCAACGGGAUAAGUAAAGCGGCAAACGGGUGAGUAACGCGUAGGUAAUCUAUCCUUCGGAUCGGGAUAACCUGCUGAAAAGUGGGAUAAUACCGGAUAACGUUCUUGUGAGUAUCUCAUGAGAACCAAAGGAGGCGAGCGCAAGCAGCUUUCACCAAAGGAGGAGCCUGCGUCCGAUUAGCUAGUUGGUGGGGUAACGGCCUACCAAGGCGACGAUCGGUAGCCGGCCUGAGAGGGCGACCGGCCACACUGGAACUGAGACACGGUCCAGACUCCUACGGGAGGCAGCAGUGGGGAAUAUUGCGCAAUGGGCGAAAGCCUGACGCAGCGACGCCGCGUGGGUGAUGAAGGCCUUCGGGUCGUAAAGCCCUGUCGGGUGGAACGAAUGGCCUGGCGGCAAAUAACCGCUAGGUGUGACGGUACCACCGAAGGAAGCCCCGGCUAACUACGUGCCAGCAGCCGCGGUAAGACGUAGGGGGCGAGCGUUGUUCGGAUUUACUGGGCGUAAAGCGCGCGUAGGCGGCUAGAUAAGUCGGGUGUGAAAUCCCUCGGCUUAACCGAGGACCCGCAUCCGAUACUGUCUGGCUCGAGUCUAGGAGAGGAAAGCGGAAUUCCCAGUGUAGCGGUGAAAUGCGUAGAUAUUGGGAGGAACACCGGUGGCGAAGGCGGCUUUCCGGACUAGCACUGACGCUGAGGCGCGAAAGCUAGGGGAGCGAACGGGAUUAGAUACCCCGGUAGUCCUAGCCGUAAACGAUGGGCACUAGGUGUGGGAGGUAUUGACCCCUUCCGCGCCGUAGCUAACGCAUUAAGUGCCCCGCCUGGGGAGUACGGCCGCAAGGCUAAAACUCAAAGGAAUUGACGGGGGCCCGCACAAGCGGUGGAGCAUGUGGUUUAAUUCGACGCAACGCGAAGAACCUUACCAGGGCUUGACAUCCCACGAACCUGCCUGAAAGGGCGGGGUGCCCGCAAGGGAACGUGGAGA